CCUCACCCUCCCGAGAAUGCUAAUUCAGGGUCCUGAAAUCCUCAUCUGCCUGAACAGUAACAGAAUGCAUGGGGCUGCGUCAGCUGGCAAGCCCCUGCCUAUGGAGCUCUGCAAAUCUACUGGUCUGAUAAGGCUAACCAGAGAAGAGAAUGGAGGUUGAGCUAUACACUUCUAAAGUUCUCAGGUACUGAGUCACCAAAAGGAGAAGGGCAAGGAAUAAGAAGAUAAAAUGAAUAAAUAAAUAAAAUUAUAAACUAAUUCAAGCAGAAAUAAAUAAAUAAAUAAAAUUCAAACAGAAUAGUUAAUAUUUUGGGAUAAAUUUUUGAAGUGUUGACUACACUACAUGCUACUUGUAAUUAUCCGUGCUACUGGAGGAAAACAAACAUUUGGAUAUUUCAACGACCGAAAAACCUUAAAUCACUUUAUCUGACUUUCCACCUCUUUCAAGAAAAUUACCUUAUUAAUUAUAUUGUGUAUGGACUAAUUAUCAAAACUAUUAUGCAACACCAAGCUCACAUUAACUGACAGUCCAAAGAAAUCCAUAUGAAAUAUGUUAAAUAGGAGGGAAAUCAGUCUAAAAAAAACAAAAACAAAAACAAAAAAAAACACAGGGGCACCUGGCUGGCUCAGUCAGAAGAGCAUGCAACUCUUGAUCUUGGGGUCAUGAGUUCA